rnacentral:misc_RNA from 1 species
AACCUCAACCUCUUUGGUUUCUUCUGGGGACCAAAGCAGGCUUGGACUUUGGAGGCCUUUUGCUGGCACCUCUCUCUUUUGAAGGCCAGCUCCUCUUAAAUGAAUUAGCAGGGUCCUCUUUGCCGAUCCUCGACGUGUGAUAAGAUGUUUCCAUGUCUUGGUUUCUGGCUCUGUCACCUUUGGGACCCGCUUCUAACCGUCUUGACCUUGCGUCGAGACAAUGUUCGAGCAUGUCUCCCCAUUCUCGGGAAGCUCCCUCGACCCC